UACGGAGGGGGCUAGCGUUGUUCGGAAUUACUGGGCGUAAAGCGCACGUAGGCGGAUCUUUAAGUCAGGGGUGAAAUCCUGGAGCUCAACUCCAGAACUGCCUUUGAUACUGAGGAUCUUGAGUCCGGGAGAGGUGAGUGGAACUCCGAGUGUAGAGGUGAAAUUCGUAGAUAUUCGCAAGAACACUAGUGGCGAAGGCGGCUCACUGGCCCGAUACUGACGCUGAGGCACGAAAGCGUGGGGAGCAAACAGG
rnacentral:rRNA from 1 species